rnacentral:rRNA from 1 species
AUUGAACGCUGGCGGCAUGCCUUACACAUGCAAGUCGAACGAGAACGGAAUAUAGCUUGCUAUAUUUGUCAGCUAAGUGGCGCACGGGUGAGUAAUGUAUAGAUAACCUGCCCUUAAGAAAGGAAUAACAGUUGGAAACGACUGCUAAUGCCCUAUAUGCCUUUAAUACAUAAGUAUGCAAGGGAAACGCUUUAGUGCUUAAGGAUGGGUCUGUAUGGUAUCAGCUUGUUGGUGAGGUAAUGGCUCACCAAGGCUAUGACGCCUAACUGGUUUGAGAGGAUGAUCAGUCACACUGGAACUGAGACACGGUCCAGACUCCUACGGGAGGCAGCAGUGGGGAAUAUUGCACAAUGGACGAAAGUCUGAUGCAGCAACGCCGCGUGGAGGAUGACACAUUUCGGUGCGUAAACUCCUUUUAUAUAGGAAGAUAAUGACGGUACUAUAUGAAUAAGCACCGGCUAACUCCGUGCCAGCCGCCGCCGUAAGAC